ACAGUCUGUCAAGUAUGAUUAUCCAGGUUAAAUCCAUGUAUCAGCUUUGUAUCUAAAGUUAUGAAUAUUGGCUAUGUAUUUAUAUCUCAAAUGUGUUUGUUCUUGGGGUAACACCCACAAGGUAGUUUACAUUCAGUCUCGACAGCCCAUUGUGAAUGGAGUAUUUAAAGCUUGAUGGGUCAUUCAGAAGAAUGAACUCUUCCGACAGCUCUUCUUGAGGAUGCCUCAGACAACAAGGAGCCAAAGGCCACCCUUGUGAUUCAGCAAGACCUAUAAGGGCAUGUGAUGUGGACAUGUGACCUCGGACUACAUCUUUUUUAGUAACUUUCCAUACACAGGGGCUUUGUUUGGGACAGUAAAUUUCAAUGCACAUGGCAGAAGAUAUAAAAGACACUCGAGAUAUCUCCAUUUUGCCUCAUUUCUGCUCCAGUUCUCUGGACUGUGGAUUUACAGCUAAACAGAGUAUUUUGAACAACGGACUGAGGACCAUCCAAUCUUUUGGAAGUUACCAGAGAGACUUUUGCAAGCCAGCAUGAUUACUGCUACGAUCCUGAUCUAUGAACACUGAAAAUCACUUGCUCUCAAAUGGACUUGUGAAGGAGACAUCAUAACCAGCACAAAAACCAGAGAUGAAGGGAAUCCUGCGGCUUUGUGAAACAGAUUUAAUACACAGAGAGACAAGGUGGGUGAGGCAAUGUCUUUUAGUGGACUAACUUUUGCUGGUGAAAGAGAGAAGCUUUUCAGCUACACAGAACUCCUCUUCAGGUCGUCUUCUACUGCCAACAACAAUGGAAGUUAUCGAAUUAAUACAAAGUAAUUUCUCUGUUGCAUUUUAACUUUUGGUGCACAGCGGCAAGUUUUAUUCUUUUGAACAUGCUCUUUUUGAUGGAUUAUUUGUCUCGGACCUUAGUCCAUUUCUGUUAAUGUUUUGGUUCAGUGCAAGGAUGUGUAACCGACGUAGUCUUAGAAAGCAUUUGUUUAUGUGGGUAUGUCUGUACAUUCACAAUGUAAAGGGGGGGGGAACCCUAAGAAUGUGAAAACAGUGUUUCUGAUGAGGCAAGAAGAAGGGUCUUUAUUUAGAAGAUUUACAUUAUAGGCAGAUCAUGAUACCACUGAAAUCACAGGACUUGUGUCAAUAACAACUUCAACAGAAGAGGGGUUGAGAUCCUACAUUGAUGGAGCCCUUGCGUAUCAAUUCUCAAAAUUAAUGCAGUAUGGUAUCUGAAAAACUGGAUCCCAACAUGCACUCUGAUAAAAGCACUACAGGUCUUUGUCUUGCAUUAAAAUGAAGCCUUGCCAACCUAGUUCUGUAUUUGUCUAGCAUAGCCCAACUACAAAAUGACUUCAGUGGCCAACACUCAAAAAGGACACAGCCCUGCAGAACGGAGGCAUGUUUUAAAUUAUGUCCUGUUAAAGCAGUGGAGAUUCAACCUAUACAUGCUGUAUUGAUGCUUAGCUCAUAGGAGAGCGAGAAAAGAAGCAGCAGCUCUAAAACUUUACCCUGUGAACUUGCACUACUUGAUAUAAAGAUCCAAGUCUCAAUUAUCAAAUUCAAGGAAAAGUCCAAAGACAUGA